GGAUGAUGGAGCCAAAAGCCAGUCCUUCUCACUCUGCUGGGGGGAACCGACCUCUAACAUCAGAAGAGAGGAAUGAAGUUACACAGGAGCAAGAAAGCUCUGUCAUUAUAGGCUGUGAGGUCUUCUUUCUUGGAAGAUUUAGAAAUAUCUUCUUAAGAUCAAUGUCUAGAGGAAGAGGAUAGGCAAAGGACUUCUCUUCAACCCUUCCUAUCUUAACACUGAAAGAGUAACUGAACUUUUGCCAAGAUGUCCUGCCAGCAAAACCAGCAGAAGUGCCAGCUACCUGCCAAGUGCCUCCCCAAGUGUCCACCCAAGCGUCCACCUCAGGCCCUGCAGGCCCCACAGGUGCCACAGGCCUCAGCUCCAUGUCCAGCUCCCUGCCCAGCCCCCUGCCCCCCGCCUGCCCCCUCCUGCUGUGUCCCCAGUUGCUGUAUCACUAGCUUCAGAGGCUGCUGCUCUCUAGGGUCUCACGGGUUUCCAGGAGUCUGUCUAGGCCAGCCCCAGCCUUCCAACUGCUGGGAGAGGGAGCCUUCUGGGUGUUCUAGUUUUUGCCAUAGAUUUGGGGGCUGCAGCUGACCUGAAGGUUUUGAGGAGCUAAAGAUCCAUAGCCAAGGAUGAGCCUGGAGUUGACAACUUUCCUUACUCUCACACUAUUCUCCAUUCUCCUCCUGAACUAAGCUGCCUAGAUGUAUACCUAGGAUUCCUCUUUUUACUGAGAACCUCAGACCACUUAGCCUUAGCUUUGGUUCUAUAUCAAGAAGACCUGAAUGCUGCAGAAAACUCUGCUUCUCAAAGCUUUGUCAACAUGCAAAAAUAAAGCCUAUCUUCCCUACA